UGAAAUAUAUGUAAAGACCAAAUAAUGACUUCAAAUACGAUUAUAUAUAUAUAUAUAUAUGAAACAAAACCUAAAGGCACCAAACAACAUCCAAUCUACUUAGGGGUGUUCAAUCGAUUUUUAUCGGAUCGAACCGGACCGGUACCAAAUCAAACCGAAACCAGAACCGCUCAAAUCUUGAUACCGAUACCGGUUGGACCGGUAUACCGAACCGGCGGUACCGGUUCAGAACCGGUUCGGUACCAGUUUUUACCGAAAAUUAAUA
rnacentral:lncRNA from 1 species